AAUUUGUAAAAAUAAAAACUUGAUUCAGUCUCUAUACAAAUUGGAAAAUUAUCGCUAAUAAUUAAAAAAAAAAUGUUAGCUAUUUAUUUAAUAAUAUUCUUAUUAGCAACUGUAUCUACAUCCACCGAGAAUGCCGAAAGAUAUUCGAACACUGACACUGACACAUAUAUUCAAAUUCAUGGAAUUGAAUCAUUUUGUGCAUUUCGGUGUUCAGAUUAUAACUAUGGAAUAUGUUAUAUUUGUGGCUAAUAGAACUUUUAAUGGAAUCGAAUAUUAAAAAUAAAUUAAUAUUUUAUUCAAAUUGAUUUUAUCUUAUC